rnacentral:lncRNA from 1 species
AAAAAUAAUUAUAUUUUCUAAAAGAGAAGAUAAGCAUUGUUUUACAUUUUGCAAGUCUCCUUAGUGUCUGACUUAGUAGAAGACAGCUGGGUUUUCAGGUCUGCUCCUGCAUUCAGUAUGUUCAAGUACAUGAAGAAAGCCUAUCUUUUCCAGUAUUUGCAGAUGGAAAACAGAUAAUUUUAUAGACUUUUCAGAUAUUUGUGGGUAUUUUCUUUAAUACUACACCAAAACUCAGAAAUCAAGGUUUUGUAAAGGUCAGUUGGCAUGUAGAAUUUUAAAUUGUGAACUCUCCAUUGGUCUAUCUUGCACUUUGAGCAGUUCUGUAACAUCAUGCAUUGAUCAUUUAGACAUGAGUGGUGACAGAUCUUCUAAAUGUUGGCAUAUUUCAUUUCAAAAUGUCCAAAAUCACAUGUGUUACUAUCACACCAUCUCAUCAGAAAAGUCUGGUUUGGGUAAUCUGUCAAUCAUGGAUACAAGUGUGUAUAACUUUCCUAAAAUUCUAUUUUCUCUUGAAACUUCAAAUUUCAUCAUUGGCAAUAAAAAC